rnacentral:tRNA from 1 species
GGAGGAGUCGCAUAGCGGUCUAGUGCACACGCUUGGAAAGCGUGCAGACCCGCAAGGGUCUCGAGAGUUCGAAUCUCUCCUCCUCCG